UACGUAGGGUGCAAGCGUUGUCCGGAAUUAUUGGGCGUAAAGAGCUCGUAGGCGGUCUGUCGCGUCGGCUGUGAAAGCCCUCGGCUUAACUGAGGAAGUGCAUCCGAAACUGGCAGGCUAGAGUACCAAAGAGGGUCGCGGAAUUCCCGGUGUAGAGGUGAAAUUCGUAGAUAUCGGGAGGAACACCGGUGGCGAAGGCGGCGACCUGGGUGGAUACUGACGCUGAGGUGCGAAAGCGUGGGGAGCAAACAGG
rnacentral:rRNA from 1 species